rnacentral:rRNA from 1 species
CAACCUGCCUAUAACUAGGGAAUAACCUUGCGAAAGUAAGACUAAUGCCCUAUGAUUUCCUUUGAUGACAUCAAAUUAGGAAUAAAGAUUUAUCGGUUAUAGAUGGGGAUGCGUCUGAUUAGCUUGUUGGCGGGGUAACGGCCCACCAAGGCAACGAUCAGUAGGGGUUCUGAGAGGAAGGUCCCCCACAUUGGAACUGAGACACGGUCCAAACUCCUACGGGAGGCAGCAGUGAGGAAUAUUGGUCAAUGGGCGGAAGCCUGAACCAGCCAAGUAGCGUGCAGGAUGACGGCCCUAUGGGUUGUAAACUGCUUUUAUACAGGGAUAAAGUUAGCCACGUGUGGUUAUUUGCAGGUACUGUAUGAAUAAGGACCGGCUAAUUCCGUGCCAGCAGCCGCGGUAAUACGGAAGGUCCAGGCGUUAUCCGGAUUUAUUGGGUUUAAAGGGAGCGUAGGCCGUCUGUUAAGCGUGUUGUGAAAUGUAGAUGCUCAACAUCUGAAUUGCAGCGCGAACUGGCAGACUUGAGUGUGCGCAACGUAGGCGGAAUUCGUGGUGUAGCGGUGAAAUGCUUAGAUAUCACGAAGAACUCCGAUUG